GGCCCCCUGCAGGAGUUCACGGGGGGUCACACCUGCACAAUGACCUACGGGUUCAAUUGCCGCGGUAACCUGACCGUGCAAAGGUAGCGUAAUCACUAGCCUAUUAAUUGUUGGCCCGUAUGAAUGGUUUUACGCUGGUGGCGCUGUCUCGGUAGCACUUAUUUGAAUUUAACCUUUGGGUGAAAAGGCCCAAAUAAGCCUGAAAGACGAUUAGACCCUAUCGAACUUCAGAUAGACCUCUUAUAGACCACCUUCGUAGAAGGACUAAUAGGGCGAAAAUCUUUGGUUGGGGUAACCGGGGACUAAGUAAAACGCCCCCCCCAUUGUAAGGAACACCUGUUAUGGCAAUUGGCCUCAGGAGAGUAAUAACACAGGUGGAACAAAAGUAUGGCAAUACAUAGCUUACUUGUAGAAUGAACCUAAGGUUGCGCUAUAAGCAACGUCUGUUAAUAGGGAAGAGUUACCGUAGGGAUAACAGCGUAAUCUUCCCGGCGAGACCAUAUUAAGGGGAAGGUUUGCGACCUCGAUGUUGGCUUAGGGCUUCCUAGAAGUGCAGGAGCUUCUAAGGGUUGGUCUGUUCGACCAUUAAAGCCUUACGU
rnacentral:rRNA from 1 species